rnacentral:rRNA from 1 species
UCGAGAAUUUUUCUCAAUGGGCGAAAGCCUGAAGGAGCGACGCCGCGUGGGGGAUGAAGGGUUUCGAUCCGUAAACCCCUGUCAUUUGCGAACAAAGCUCCGCUGUGAACAGCAGCGAGAGUUGAUAGUAGUGAAAGAGGAAGGGACGGCUAACUCUGUGCCAGCAGCCGCGGUAAUACAGAGGUCCCGAGCGUUGUUCGGAUUCACUGGGCGUAAAGGGUGCGUAGGUGGCUUCGCAAGUUCGAUGUGAAAUCUCCGGGCUUAACCCGGAAAUGGCAUUGAAUACUGCGUGAGCUCGAGGGUUGGAGGGGGGACUGGAAUUCUCGGUGUAGCAGUGAAAUGCGUAGAUAUCGAGAGGAACACCAGUGGCGAAGGCGAGUCCCUGGACAACCCCUGACACUGAGGCACGAAAGCUAGGGGAGCAAACAG